AAUGCUUCGGCCUCCUUUGGCUAAGAUCAAGGUAGUAUCUGUUCUUACCAGUUUAAUAUGAGUUCUCGGAUAGUCCUCUCAUCCGAGAAUAACAUAUAUAUACAAUGAUUUUGAGCCGGGAGAGGUUAGGGGCUUGCUCCUGUCCACCCGCGCAUCGCAGGCAUUAGUAGUACUAGGAACGGUGCAAUUUCC